rnacentral:lncRNA from 1 species
CAGGCUCAGAAUUGACUCAAAAAAGGAUACCUCUAAAAGUGUUUARUUGUACCAUAUCUGUGUUCUAGCUUCGAGUGUUUCAUUUUCCCGAGAUAGCUCCUCCUAAGCAGGGUUACUGUUCAGAGAGUGGAAAUCUGAUUAAGUGGGUCCCAAAUAAACAUCGAAAAUGUCAAAAGCCUGGACUGCAAGCAGUGUCAGAGUUGAAGCCUGUAAGACAGAUAUGUGUUAAAGACCUUGCCUCUGAAAGUCUCAGUGACCUUAAAGAAGCGCAAAGCCAAGGACGAGACGUUGACACGAGAAGAAUGAAAUCCAGGAAAAUCCCUGCAGGAGGCCAGCCCAGUCUCAUGUAUCCAAAGAGAAGCCAGAUACUUAGCUGCCCAUCCAAAACAAUAAAAUCACUUCUAAACUACAAAACCGAAGGUUUUGCAGAAAAAGAUGGGGUACUAAGCCAGUCUUGCCCUGGACGGCUGCAGAUUGCAACCAUGGUGGAGCUGCAAGAUGAGGGUGGCCUGAAGCUGAUGAACAGGCAACCAGGCUUGUCUGAUGCUAAACCAAAGUCAUCCCGUCCCUUGCUGGUGCAAAAGGCUCCAGUAAUGGUGAAUUUGAAAGAAAAAAGCACACAAAGCAUCAAAAACAGCCAGUAUCUGAAGAAACCAACAAAAAUUAAAACCGGACCAAGUAUUAAAAUAAAAACUCCAGACAGCAUGCCCUUGUGCCUCUUUUCGAAACUGGAAGAACAGCCGGACUACUCAGAUCUGUUUGCAUUUCCUGCUGAGUUUCUGCAGUGCUGCRCAGACGGUGGCCCUGAGCAGCCCCCUGCCGAGCUGGAUCUGUCACCCAAAACAUUUAAAGAGGGCAUGCAUCAUGGAAAGGAGAGCCCUGUGGCACAGCUCGUGGAGCUCUGGAGAAGGAGAUCUUCUGGGAAGUCUGUGCUGGGCAAGAGUAGCACAGCAAAUCUGGUGCCUCAGGGAAUUUGCUGGCCUGUGAAAGGAUGGUUGUGCUGA